UGAGGAAUAUUGGUCAAUGGGCGAGAGCCUGAACCAGCCAAGUAGCGUGCAGGAUGACGGCCCUAUGGGUUGUAAACUGCUUUUAUAUGGGAAUAAAGUGAGGGACGUGUCCCUUAUUGCAUGUACCAUACGAAUAAGGACCGGCUAAUUCCGUGCCAGCAGCCGCGGUAAUACGGAAGGUCCAGGCGUUAUCCGGAUUUAUUGGGUUUAAAGGGAGCGUAGGCUGUUUGUUAAGCGUGUUGUGAAAUGUAAGCGCUCAACUUCUAGAUUGCAGCGCGAACUGUCAGACUUGAGUGCGCACAACGUAGGCGGAAUUCAUGGUGUAGCGGUGAAAUGCUUAGAUAUCAUGAAGAACUCCGAUUGCGAAGGCAGCUUACGGGAGCGCAACUGACGCUGAAGCUCGAAGGUGCGGGUAUCGAACAGG
rnacentral:rRNA from 1 species